CCUACGAGAGGCAGCAGUAGGGAAUAUUGCUCAAUGGGGGAAACCCUGAAGCAGCAACGCCGCGUGGAGGAUGAAGGUUUUCGGAUUGUAAACUCCUUUUGUUAGAGAAGAUAAUGACGGUAUCUAACGAAUAAGCACCGGCUAACUCCGUUCCGGCAGCCGCGGUAAUACGGAGGGUGCAACCGUUACUCGGAAUCACUGGGCGUAAAGCGCGCGUAGGCGGGAUAGCAAGUCAGAUGUGAAAUCCUAUGGCUUAACCAUAGAACUGCAUUUUAAACUGUUAUUCUAGAGUAUGGGAGAGGUAGGCGGAAUUCGUGGUGUAGGGGUAAAAUCCGUAGAGAUCAAGAGGAAUACUCAUUGCGAAGGCGACCUGCUAGAACAUAACUGACGCUGAUGCGCGAAAGCGUGGGGAGCAAACAGGAUUAGAUACCCCGGUAGUC
rnacentral:rRNA from 1 species